UUUUUCACCAUAAUAAUUAAAAAUGGCAUGCGAGUUAUUUUAGUUUAAAGCACCAGAAGUGUUUAUUUAAAUGUCUUAUUCAGCAUUGACGCUACCAACGAUAUAUUUCAUGAGAGUCGAAUGAUAAAUGAUGCCGAAAAUGGAGACGCAAAACAAAAAUGUGUAAUGAAAAUAGUUGAAGUCAACCAAACUCCCCAUCUAUGCACUUUCGCCGACAGAGACAUUGCAAUUGGCGAGGAACUCCGAUAUGAUUAUGGAGUACCAACACUUCCAUGGAGAAAGGCAACACACUGACUACUAGAUCUAUUGACAGCCAGGAACCAGGACAAACAACAUCCGUACACACGGAAGAAAGCGAUGAGACGAAAAGGGUACUUCCAAUACCAGGAGAACAAAACAAGCAGCCAAAAAGCAAUGGAGUGAAAACGAAAAAGGAGCUGUUCACAGACACUUUGAUCGUUUUUUGAUAAUGGGUAAAUUACCAGGGAAAAAAGAAAUACUUGCAUGUAUUGAAAGUGAGAAUGACCUUCACAACAGAAGUUGGAAAAUUGUCAAAGACUUUUGCAGAAAUUUAAUUGAAACAAAAAAGCGACGGGGACUUUUAACUUACAAAAAUAUUACACAUAUAAUGCACGUUUAGGAGAAUACGUUAAAGGAUGAAGUUGCCACUUUUUUGUGUUUUCUUGUUCUAUAUACUCUUUUCGAAAAAGAUAUAUGUGUGCUUAUUGUAUUUGAAUGUUUUAUUAAUACGGUUCAGUCAAAAACGAUAUUUGUUAAUAAUCAUAUCGCCGAACAAAUUAGGAUUGGUAUAUAGUUCGGCCAAAGAGUGUUUCUUUGUACUUUCUAUUACGAGUUUCUACGAGUUACUCACUAUACAAGUUAUUUUUUACCCUAAACUUGGUGAAUAUGAAUGAAUAUAGCAAACAUGAUAACAAAUCAAUCUAGAAGGCUAAACGUUCAGAGAAGGCACAAAAAAAUUCAGUCGGAUAAAUGGAAACAAACAU